AGUGAACGCUGGCGGUAGGCCUAACACAUGCAAGUCGAACGGCAGCACAGGAGAGCUUGCUCUCUGGGUGGCGAGUGGCGGACGGGUGAGGAAUACAUCGGAAUCUACUCUGUCGUGGGGGAUAACGUAGGGAAACUUACGCUAAUACCGCAUACGACCUACGGGUGAGAGCAGGGGAUCUUCGGACCUUGCGCGAUUGAAUGAGCCGAUGUCGGAUUAGCUAGUUGGCGGGGUAAAGGCCCACCAAGGCGACGAUCCGUAGCUGGUCUGAGAAGAUGAUCAGCCCCACUGGAACUGAGACACGGUCCAGAAUCCUACGGGAGGCAGCAGUGGGGAAUAUUGGACAAUGGGCGCAAGCCUGAUCCAGCCAUACCGCGUGGGUGAAGAAGGCCUUCGGGUUGUAAAGCCCUUUUGUUGGGAAAGAAAUCCAGCUGGCUAAUACCCGGUUGGGAUGACGGUACCCAAAGAAUAAGCACCGGCUAACUUCGUGCCAGCCGCCGCAGUAA
rnacentral:rRNA from 1 species